rnacentral:sRNA from 1 species
AUGUACCACCGGUACUCUGCGGUUUCUCAGCGCAGUCUGCAUCCGCCUGCCGAAUGCUCGCUACGUUUCGUUAGCC